AACGUGGGGAAACUCACGCUAAUACCGCAUACGUCCUACGGGAGAAAGCAGGGGAUCUUCGGACCUUGCGCUAUCGGAUGAGCCUAUGUCGGAUUAGCUAGUUGGUGAGGUAACGGCUCACCAAGGCGACGAUCCGUAGCUGGUCUGAGAGGAUGAUCAGCCACACUGGGACUGAGACACGGCCCAGACUCCUACGGGAGGCAGCAGUGGGGAAUAUUGGACAAUGGGGGAAACCCUGAUCCAGCCAUGCCGCGUGUGUGAAGAAGGCCUUCGGGUUGUAAAGCACUUUCAGCGAGGAAGAAGGCCUGAGGGCUAAUACCCUUCAGGAAGGACAUCACUCGCAGAAGAAGCACCGGCUAACUCCGUGCCAGCAGCCGCGGUAAUACGGAGGGUGCGAGCGUUAAUCGGAAUUACUGGGCGUAAAGCGCGCGUAGGUGGCUUGAUAAGCCGGUUGUGAAAGCCCCGGGCUCAACCUGGGAACGGCAUCCGGAACUGUCAGGCUAGAGUGCAGGAGAGGAAGGUAGAAUUCCCGGUGUAGCGGUGAAAUGCGUAGAGAUCGGGAGGAAUACCAGUGGCGAAGGCGGCCUUCUGGACUGACACUGACACUGAGGUGCGAAAGCGUGGGUAGCAAACAGGAUUAGAUACCCUGGUAGUCCACGCCGUAAACGAUGUCGACUAGCCGUUGGGUUCCUUGAGAACUUUGUGGCGCAGUUAACGCGAUAAGUCGACCGCCUGGGGAGUACGGCCGCAAGGUUAAAACUCAAAUGAAUUGACGGGGGCCCGCACAAGCGGUGGAGCAUGUGGUUUAAUUCGAUGCAACGCGAAGAACCUUACCUACCCUUGACAUCGUGCGAACUUGGUAGAGAUACCUUGGUGCCUUCGGGAACGCACAGACAGGUGCUGCAUGGCUGUCGUCAGCUCGUGUUGUGAAAUGUUGGGUUAAGUCCCGUAACGAGCGCAACCCUUGUCCCUAUUUGCCAGCGAUUCGGUCGGGAACUCUAGGGAGACUGCCGGUGACAAACCGGAGGAAGGUGGGGACGACGUCAAGUCAUCAUGGCCCUUACGGGUAGGGCUACACACGUGCUACAAUGGUCGGUACAAAGGGUUGCAAUACCGCGAGGUGGAGCUAAUCCCAUAAAGCCGGUCUCAGUCCGGAUCGGAGUCUGCAACUCGACUCCGUGAAGUCGGAAUCGCUAGUAAU
rnacentral:rRNA from 1 species